UACGUAGGGGGCAAGCGUUGUCCGGAUUUAUUGGGCGUAAAGAGCGUGUAGGCGGCCAUGUAGGUCCGUUGUGAAAACUCGAGGCUCAACCUCGAGACGCCGAUGGAAACCAUGUGACUAGAGUCCGGAAGAGGAGAGUGGAAUUCCUGGUGUAGCGGUGAAAUGCGCAGAUAUCAGGAGGAACACCGGUGGCGAAGGCGGGUCUCUGGGCCGAUACUGACGCUGAGGAGCGAAAGCGUGGGGAGCGAACAGG
rnacentral:rRNA from 1 species